rnacentral:rRNA from 1 species
UAGCGAAUGGAAAAGAGCAAAGAAGAGUGAAAAGGGUGCAAUGGGGUCCAUGAACAAAUAGAAUUGGUGGGAGGAAAGUGCAUGAGAUAAAUAUGUAGAUUUAGGUUUAAAUUUAUUUAUUUAUUUAUAUAUACAUAUAUAUUAGGACAUGAGUUAUGGAUGUUCUGCUUUUCCCUUCCUUUCUCUCGUUCGUUUGACAGUUGAUUCAGAUGUCGAAUCACUAUCGGUCUAUCUGUUCAAGUAUAUAUUAAU